UAUUAUUUUAAAAGCAUCUUUUUAGGAAGAAUUCAAUUUUUCUGAUAUUUGACAAUAAUGGAAUAACGUUAAUAUUUGAAUGUUAGUGAACGAAAACGCCUUUGAUUAAUUCAACGGGGAUCGAGAUUAAGGUUGAGAUUUAGAUAAGAAGGAUUAUAAAUUACUCUUAAAUGCAAAAAUGAUUAAUUAUUGCAUUGAGUUAAUGCUUCGAGAUACAGUAAUACAUUUCAAAACAAAUUGUAAUACCGUUUAAGAAUUAUUCCCAUGAUUAAUUCUUUCUUAAUUCGAAUAUCGAGAACAAUUGAUUGAUCAAAGAUUCGUACGAAUAUUCUUUCUUUUCCGUUCCUUCCAAAAAUGAAUUUAUGAUUAAUGAAUUAAUAUACAGAUAUUCGCAACGGUAAUUCUGAUUCUCAAGGAAACGCGGCAAUUAUUGGAAUGUAUUCGAAUAAGAAACGAAGAACAAUAAAAAAAUUAAUUGAUCCACGAGAACUAGGUAAAACAAACUUACCGAAAAAAACAACCGACGAGACUCUGACGGUCGUAUGAAUCAGAGAGCACAAAUUAUAACGAUGAAUCAUUUUUUUUUAAAUUGCAGGAAAGAUUGGAUCUAUUGUUUCAAUGACGCACACUUCAGUGACGACAAAUGUGUAUCGCAAUUAAUAAACAAAUGAUAAAGAUAUUUGCACAACGGAUAAAUCUUGAUUGAUCGAUCCGUUUUGCAGGUUAGGGCUUGCGGCCGAAGAUUAUAUAUCCCUUUUGAAACUCAUAAAUAAAACUCUUCCCCGUUGUAACUAUCUGCGGGCAAGAAACUUCUGUAUUCACCAACCAGCCAUUAAGGUGUCGUGCGUAAAAUAAAUCAAGGUUAUUUGUGGACCAACACGUCGAAAAGUUUUCGAUGGGUGGAAUAAGAGAAAUGAAAAAAGCGGCAAUAAAUUAUUCAAAGUAUAUGCGAUAUGC